rnacentral:rRNA from 1 species
UACGUAGGUGGCAAGCGUUGUUCGGAAUUAUUGGGCGUAAAGGGCGCGUAGGCGGUUUGCUAAGUCGGCUGUGAAAGCCUGGGGCUCAACCCCAGAGGGUCGGCCGAUACUGGCAGACUAGAGUACGGAAGAGGUAGCUGGAAUUCCCGGUGUAGCGGUGAAAUGCGUAGAUAUCCGGAGGAACACCGGUGGCGAAGGCGGCUUCCUGGACCGACACUGACGCUGAGGCGCGAAAGCGUGGGGAGCAAACAGG